rnacentral:rRNA from 1 species
ACGAACGCUGGCGGCGUGCUUAACACAUGCAAGUCGAACGGAAAGGCCCUGCUUUUGUGGGGUGCUCGAGUGGCGAACGGGUGAGUAACACGUGAGUAACCUGCCCUUGACUUUGGGAUAACUUCAGGAAGCUGGGGCUAAUACCGGAUAGGAGCUCCUGCUGCAUGGUGGGGGUUGGAAAGUUUCGGCGGUUGGGGAUGGACUCGCGGCUUAUCAGCUUGUUGGUGGGGUAGUGGCUUACCAAGGCUUUGACGGGUAGCCGGCCUGAGAGGGUGACCGGCCACAUUGGGACUGAGAUACGGCCCAGACUCCUACGGGAGGCAGCAGUGGGGAAUAUUGCACAAUGGGCGGAAGCCUGAUGCAGCAACGCCGCGUGCGGGAUGACGGCCUUCGGGUUGUAAACCGCUUUCGCCUGUGACGAAGCGUGAGUGACGGUAAUGGGUAAAGAAGCACCGGCUAACUACGUGCCAACAGCCGCGGUGAUACGUACGGUGCGAGCGUUGUCCGGAUUUAUUGGGCGUAAAGGGCUCGUAGGUGGUUGAUCGCGUCGGACGUGUAAUCUUGGGGCUUAACCCUGAGCGUGCUUUCGAUACGGGUUGACCUUGAGGAACGUAGGGGAGAAUGGAAUUCCUGGUGGAGCGGUGGAAUGCGCAGAUAUCAGGAGGAACACCAGUGGCGAAGGCGGUUCUCUGGGCCUUUCCUGACGCUGAGGAGCGAAAGCGUGGGGAGCGAACAGGCUUAGAUACCCUGGUAGUCCACGCUGUAAACGGUGGGUACUAGGUGUGGGGUCCAUUCCACGGGUUCCGUGCCGUAGCUAACGCUUUAAGUACCCCGCCUGGGGAGUACGGCCGCAAGGCUAAAACUCAAAGGAAUUGACGGGGCCCCGCACAAGCGGCGGAGCAUGCGGAUUAAUUCGAUGCAACGCGUAGAACCUUACCUGGGUUUGACAUGGAUCGGGAGUGCUCAGAGAUGGGUGUGCCUCUUUUGGGGUCGGUUCACAGGUGGUGCAUGGCUGUCGUCAGCUCGUGUCGUGAGAUGUUGGGUUAAGUCCCGCAACGAGCGCAACCCUUGUUCACUGUUGCCAGCACGUUAUGGUGGGGACUCAGUGGAGACCGCCGGGGUCAACUCGGAGGAAGGUGGGGAUGACGUCAAGUCAUCAUGCCCCUUAUGUCCAGGGCUUCACGCAUGCUACAAUGGCUGGUACAGAGAGUGGCGAGCCUGUGAGGGUGAGCGAAUCUCGGAAAGCCGGUCUCAGUUCGGAUUGGGGUCUGCAACUCGACCUCAUGAAGUCGGAGUCGCUAGUAAUCGCAGAUCAGCAACGCUGCGGUGAAUACGUUCCCGGGGCUUGUACACACCGCCCGUCAAGUCAUGAAAGUUGGUAACACCCGAAGCCGGUGGCCUAACCGUUGUGGGGGAGCCGUCGAAGGUGGGACUGGU